UACGUAGGGUGCAAGCGUUGUCCGGAAUUAUUGGGCGUAAAGAGCUCGUAGGCGGUUUGUCGCGUCUGCUGUGAAAACUCGGGGCUUAACCCCGGGCCUGCAGUGGGUACGGGCAGACUAGAGUGCGGUAGGGGAGACUGGAAUUCCUGGUGUAGCGGUGAAAUGCGCAGAUAUCAGGAGGAACACCGGUGGCGAAGGCGGGUCUCUGGGCAGCAUCUGACACUGAGGCACGAAGGCCAGGGGAGCAAACGGG
rnacentral:rRNA from 1 species